AGGUAAUGUCUGGGAAACGGCCUGAUGGAGGGGGAUAACUACUGGAAACGGUAGCUAAUACCGCAUAACGUCGCAAGACCAAAGAGGGGACCGUUCGGGCCUCAUGCCAUCAGAUGUGCCCAGAUGGGAUUAGCUAGUAGGUGGGGUAACGGCUCACCUAGGCGACGAUCCCUAGCUGGUCUGAGAGGAUGACCAGCCACACUGGAACUGAGACACGGUCCAG
rnacentral:rRNA from 1 species